CACUCCUGCGGGAGGCAGCAGUGGGGAAUAUUGGACAAUGGGCGCAAGCCUGAUCCAGCCAUGCCGCGUGAGUGAUGAAGGCCCUAGGGUUGUAAAGCUCUUUCACCGGUGAAGAUAAUGACGGUAACCGGAGAAGAAGCCCCGGCUAACUUCGUGCCAGCAGCCGCGGUAAUACGAAGGGGGCUAGCGUUGUUCGGAUUUACUGGGCGUAAAGCGCACGUAGGCGGACUAUUAAGUCAGGGGUGAAAUCCCGGGGCUCAACCCCGGAACUGCCUUUGAUACUGGUAGUCUUGAGUUCGCGAGAGGUGAGUGGAAUUCCGAGUGUAGAGGUGAAAUUCGUAGAUAUUCGGAGGAACACCAGUGGCGAAGGCGGCUCACUGGCUCGAUACUGACGCUGAGGUGCGAAAGCGUGGGGAGCAAACAGGAUUAGAAACCCUAGUAGUCCCA
rnacentral:rRNA from 1 species